rnacentral:rRNA from 1 species
UAGGGAAUCUUCCGCAAUGGGCGAAAGCCUGACGGAGCAACGCCGCGUGAGUGAUGAAGGUCUUCGGAUCGUAAAACUCUGUUAUUAGGGAAGAACAAAUGUGUAAGUAACUAUGCACGUCUUGACGGUACCUAAUCAGAAAGCCACGGCUAACUACGUGCCAGCAGCCGCGGUAAUACGUAGGUGGCAAGCGUUAUCCGGAAUUAUUGGGCGUAAAGCGCGCGUAGGCGGUUUUUUAAGUCUGAUGUGAAAGCCCACGGCUCAACCGUGGAGGGUCAUUGGAAACUGGAAAACUUGAGUGCAGAAGAGGAAAGUGGAAUUCCAUGUGUAGCGGUGAAAUGCGCAGAGAUAUGGAGGAACACCAGUGGCGAAGGCGACUUUCUGGUCUGUAACUGACGCUGAUGUGCGAAAGCGUGGGAUCAAACAGG